UGGAGCGUUUCUGCUCUGCUGAAUGGGACAUCUGGUCUGGAGCAAGCAGAAGCACAACUGAGUUCAUGCUGGAACUAGUACAUUAUGUUCCCAUUGGAGGCCAGCAGCAUAGAUGCUGAGUUGUUCAUAACGUCUUUAGAAGAAGACCUUGAGCUCACAGCUAGAGGCCAGAUGAAGAGGGACUGUACACUAGUACAGCCAAGCCAGUGAGAACCCAACAACAACAGAGACACGAGUCCAGAUGCCAAGUUUCCCUCUUUGUUCUGUUUCUUCCACACUGUUUCUUUCUGUUUUUAUGCAUAUGAAGCCAGGAUUCUAUCUUUAUUCAAAGUGUUUCUCUUAAAGCUGCUUAACAACAUUUUAAAAAAUGUACCGGUACCUUUGUAUUAUCAAAAAAGUCUUUCUCAUAUUCACAAACAGAUGUUGAAGAUAGAAAUUGCAGUUUAAAUCUUUGUUGGUUGACAAACGGUCAUCUGAAUUAAACCCCAAAUGUUUUGCGCAUUGCAUUGUGGGAUUGGGAGUCCAAUAGAAAAAUGCAAAGAUGGUGCUGAAGCAGAAGUUUCUUAAAGAAGAGUUGGUAACACUUUACUUGAAGUUUUAUACAUAAGGUGUCAUGAAGGCUGUCAAUAAGUGUCAUUUGUGACCCUAACCCUAACUCUUCGUUAUCCUAACCCCUAAUUCUACCUACCUUAUCUCUAUCCCUACCCUACCCAACCCUAACCCCCAACCCUGACCCUAACCAAAGGUCUCCAACCUUUAUCAGUCAAAGAGCCAUUUGGACACGUUUCCAACAGAAAAAAAGCAUUAGGAGCCACAAACUGUUCUGACAUUUAAAAUGAAGAUAGGACUGCAUACAAUUAUUAUUAUUUUUUUACCUUUAUGCUGUAUAUAAACAAAUAAUAGUGUGUUGCAUUUAUUAAAUCAGUUAACUGUUACAGAGAAAACAGUUACAUCUUAUAUGUGACAAAAAUAUCUUGAACUCUGCAAAAAAAAAGACUCCUUGUUGUGUUUAAGAACAAACAGCUGAACUUUGGUUUUAUGGUCACUUGGCAAAAAUGUGUGGGUUCGAACCCUGCAGGGGAGUUUUCUUGAAAAUACCUACACCUACUCUAGCUUGAGUAUAAAAAAGUAAUCAAAGCUCCUUCAUGGGUUAUGGCCAGGGUAAUCCCCAAAAGGUGAAUCAGUG
rnacentral:lncRNA from 1 species